GUUGAACGCUGGCGGCAGGCUUAACACAUGCAAGUCGAACGAGUGGCGGACGGGUGAGCAAUGGUUGAGCACCUGGCUUAUGGACGGGUAUGAGUGGGGGAAACUGUAGCUACUAGCGCGUACCAUAGGAUGAGCCGAAGUUGGAUUAGGUAGUUGCGGAGGUAAAGGCUCACCAAGCCGACGAUCUCUAGCUGGUCUGAGAGGAUGACCAGCCACACUGGGACUGAGACACGGCCCAGACUCCUACGGGAGGCAGCAGUGGGGAAUAUUGCGCAAUGGGGGCAACCUGACGGAGCCAUGCCGCGUGAAUGAAGAAGGUCUUCGGGUUGUAAAGUUCUUUCGGUAGCGAGGCGUUAACUACAGAAGAAGCAACGGCUAACUCCGUGCCAGCAGCCGCGGUAAUAC
rnacentral:rRNA from 1 species